CUUGCUUCUCUUGAGAGCGGCGGACGGGUGAGUAAUGCCUAGGAAUCUGCCUGGUAGUGGGGGAUAACGUUCGGAAACGGACGCUAAUACCGCAUACGUCCUACGGGAGAAAGCAGGGGACCUUCGGGCCUUGCGCUAUCAGAUGAGCCUAGGUCGGAUUAGCUAGUUGGUGGGGUAAUGGCUCACCAAGGCGACGAUCCGUAACUGGUCUGAGAGGAUGAUCAGUCACACUGGAACUGAGACACGGUCCAGACUCCUACGGGAGGCAGCAGUGGGGAAUAUUGGACAAUGGGCGAAAGCCUGAUCCAGCCAUGCCGCGUGUGUGAAGAAGGUCUUCGGAUUGUAAAGCACUUUAAGUUGGGAGGAAGGGUUGUAGAUUAAUACUCUGCAAUUUUGACGUUACCGACAGAAUAAGCACCGGCUAACUCUGUGCCAGCAGCCGCGGUAAUACAGAGGGUGCAAGCGUUAAUCGGAAUUACUGGGCGUAAAGCGCGCGUAGGUGGUUUGUUAAGUUGGAUGUGAAAUCCCCGGGCUCAACCUGGGAACUGCAUUCAAAACUGACUGACUAGAGUAUGGUAGAGGGUGGUGGA
rnacentral:rRNA from 1 species